CGCCGGGCCGCGGGUAGAGCGCGCGAGAGGAGCGGCGCGGGGGCGCCCCCCUCGGCCGGGCGCUCGGGUUACAGCCCCGGCUCCCUGGCUUCCCCGCCCGCGCCUCGCCGGUUCGCCCGCGCCGUGAGAGACAUUGUAACGGAACUGGGACGCCAGCGCUGCAUUGUGGGAGCUUUUAAAGUGGCGGGGAGUGCGGCCCGGCCGCUCGGGCCCGCCGGGCCAAGCCCACCCCGGAGCUCCUCGCUCGACCUGCCACCCCUCGCCCCGCCACACGCCCCCGACCGCCGAGGCCUGUGGUCCCGAAAAGCCAGAAACGGUGAGGUGACCAGUGCCUACGGACUCUCACUGAAGCAAAAUCUUCCAGAGCCCGGGGUGAGACUUGUAAAACUGCCCCCUGCGGUCAUUUCGGAAAGUAGGAGGCUUAUUCUGCAGACGCUUAAAAAUGAAAAGAAAAAAAAAAAAAGGAAAGAAAAAAAAAAAAAAACCCUUCCAUCCCCCAAGGACUGGGUUUGAAUUGCUUUUCAUCUGGAGUGGCAGUGAUUCAGCGACCCCCUUCUCAGCGGCAGGCAGUGACAGAGACAGGAGAUGAAAAACACAGCGAAUGAAUCAGACCCACUGGACAAAAUUCAGUCUUCGGACCAGGCUUGUGCUCACACAGACCCACAACUCAGCAACAGCUAUUAAUUUGGAGGGAGAUGGAGUGAAGAUAAUGGCCGAGAUAUAAGAAAGCAUUCCAGUUAUAAAAUACCCCUUUUAAUUCUCCAGACACUGGUUUUUUUUUAAAAUCAAAACAAGGAUAUUAAAUUUGAAGCCCAACUUGUUACAGCUCAUCUUACCGAAGGCCUGAUUUGUUUUGAGUUUCUGUUUGUUGCUUCCUCUUGUUUUUUGACCUUUAGUUAUUGCACAGCUCAUUAGUUCCUUUGCCUCUGAGGUGAACUGAGGAGAAAGAGAGGUGGUGAGACUCAAAUUUGGCGAUAAACAUUUGGAGGAUUUGAGGACAAGGAGAGUUUCAAAUGCAAAACCUGAGGGAAUUUUAUUUAAGGUGAUUCCUUAGGGUAUGGACCCUCUUCUCAAGAGGACUUUUCCAGACUUAACAUUUCCUAAGCUCUCAUUCCCUUGCCAACCUUUCAGUCCGCUGAACAACAUCAGUCACCGCCUAAUUGCCAAAUCUAAUGGAAAAUUUUAAUCUCCA